UACGUAGGGUGCAAGCGUUGUCCGGAAUUAUUGGGCGUAAAGAGCUCGUAGGCGGUUUGUCGCGUCUGCUGUGAAAACCCGAGGCUCAACCUCGGGCCUGCAGUGGGUACGGGCAGACUAGAGUGCGGUAGGGGAGAUUGGAAUUCCUGGUGUAGCGGUGGAAUGCGCAGAUAUCAGGAGGAACACCAAUGGCGAAGGCAAUGAUC
rnacentral:rRNA from 1 species